rnacentral:rRNA from 1 species
UACAGAGGUCCCAAGCGUUGUUCGGAUUCACUGGGCGUAAAGGGUGCGUAGGUGGCAGGGUAAGUUUGAUGUGAAAUCUCCGAGCUCAACUCGGAAACUGCAUUGAAUACUAUCCUGCUUGAGGAUUGGAGGGGAGACUGGAAUUCUCGGUGUAGCAGUGAAAUGCGUAGAUAUCGGGAGGAACACCAGUGGCGAAGGCGACUACCUGGCCUGUUCUUGACGCUGAGGCGCGAAAGCUAGGGGAGCAAACGGG